AUGGGGAGAGGCUCCAAAAUCCACCCAAAUCCCGACCCUCGGCCCCGAAUUGUGACACUUUCUCCUCCUCCUGCUCCUGCCGGUUUCGGCCAGGUGGGCAUCGCCCAGCUCCGGCCACGCCCAUUCGCGGGCCACGCCCGGAUCCGACGCCUCCUUCCCAUGUGGGUGGGCCUCCUUCUGGGGGCCGUGACCCUGCUGGAGUCCGGGGGGGACCUCCAGCCCCCCGGGGGGUCCCUGCGCCUCCUCUGCGCGCCUCCGGCUUCGAUUUCGGGAAUUUUGGGAUGGGGCUGGAUGCGCCAGAGACCCGGGCAGGGCCUGGAGUGGGUCGCGGGCAUCUACAGCGAUGGUGGCAACAGCAGAUACGCGCCGUCGGUGCGGGGCCGGUUCAGGAUCUCCAGGGACAACGGGCAGAGCUCGGUGACGCUGACCAUGAACGGCCUCAAGGACGAGGAUUCCGGCUCCUAUUUCUGCGCCAAAUCCUCUGGUGCU